rnacentral:tRNA from 1 species
GCCCUGCAAAAGGGCAAGAAACGGACUCAAAAUCCGCCGACCGCAAGGUCGUGGGGGUUCGCCCCCCUCUCCCGGCACCA